rnacentral:lncRNA from 1 species
UUCGGUCUACUUUUUCUAUGAAAUUUAAGUGUUUAGUGCUAAUUAAUCGGUUGUAGUUUGGCUCCGAAAUUUUUUCUGUAGAGAUUGUUUGUCUUGUCCGCUGGCUUGUAUGUGUGAGGGUUUAGAUUAUCAUAUCUCUUCUUUGUAACUUUUGUAACAUGUAUUACAUUUGAUUUAGUUUGAGUUGGACGCAUAACUCAAAAAUGUUAGCAAUCAUGAAUUAGUUUUGAAUUUUUCAAAGUUGUGUUUGAGUUGUAAUAUAUUGUUGAUGCGUUAGAAUUUUGAGUUAUAGCCUUUGUAAAAUGAUAACUCAAAUCUUAAAUCAACAUCAAUAACAAUUUCAUGUAAGCUUUGAUUUAAAGAAAAUUUUGAGUUUUCUAAUAACUGCCAAACCAUAAUCAUACUAGGUGUUUUCCUG